UUGGGUUCAAGAAGCCAGCAAUUGAGGAUCCUGUGAGGACAAACAAAAUCCCAAGGCAAAUCCCAGAGCAAGCUUGGUAUAUGAACCCAACUUUCUCUAUUCUGAUCGGAGGAAUACUUCCUUUCGGAGCUGUUUUCAUCGAGCUGUUCUUCAUUCUCACCUCAAUCUGGCUGAACCAGUUCUACUACAUCUUUGGUUUCCUGUUCUUGGUAUUCAUUAUCCUCCUAAUCACUUGUGCUGAAAUAACCAUUGUGCUUUGCUACUUCCAAUUAUGCAGUGAAGAUUAUCUGUGGUGGUGGAGAUCAUAUCUCACAUCCGGCUCCUCGGCUUUGUACCUCUUCCUCUACGCUACAUUCUAUUUCUUCACAAAGCUUGAGAUCACUAAGCUGGUUUCGGGGCUCCUAUACUUUGGGUACAUGCUAAUUGCUUCGUAUGCAUUUUUUGUGCUAACGGGCAGCAUCGGAUUUUAUGCUUGCUUUUGGUUCACGAGACUUAUCUACUCAUCUGUCAAGAUCGAUUAGUGUGUAAAAGGGGAUAUGCUUUUUAGGUUAAGAUAUAGUCAUGCUUUAAGAUGUAUACGUUAAUUCUCAUUUUUGAACUGAGUUGUCAUUGUUGUAGUUGAUUGAGAAAAUACUUGUUAAGAGGAGCCUGAAAAACACUAGGUGAAUUUGAUGAUUUUGUAAUAAUAUCGUAGCCUUUUUAUUCCUUUAUUUAUAGAAAACGCAAAAUACUUAUGCUGAUGGUUUUUAUUACUUGGUGGAACACAACUUGACCUGCCGAAUGCUGAAAUUCUUUUAUAACGAAAGGGAUGGAUCAUGUCCGAACUCUGGUUGAAUCGGUCAAGAAUUUUUUUCCGAUCCGAUUUAUGUUUUUUUUACUAGGUAAGUUAUUAAGAACUCCAAAAAAAUAUUGAAGAUUUAUAGUCAGCUUCAUAGUUUGUUUAAUCCUUUUUUUUUGAACUUGAUUUAAUCAAUUUAUGCUGGUUAACAAAUUAAUCAAAUAUAUAUUUUUUAUAUUUCUGACGGACAAACCGAUUUAUCUGAUUUUGACAAUUAUGAAGCUUAUUUUAAGUUUAAUAGCUGUAAGCUAUAACUAUAUCUGCAUUGUUUUGUGUAAAUAUUUGCGCUAAUUAUUAUUUGGUUACAUAAUUUUUUACGACUUAGAUGAUAUAUUUGUUUAACAAAGAAAAUUGUAUAACAUUAGUAUAUUAUUUUGUUACACUAAUUAUUAUUGAUUUUGUAAUGUUAGUCUAUCACAGAUUAUAGAAUAAAUUACCAAUUUACAAAAUUUUUUAGAAUUUGCAUAAUAUUUUUGAGUAAUAACACAACUCUUACGCCACAUAUUACCUUACUAUAAUAAUUAUUACAGAUUUUAUAAUGUUUAGUAUAAUAUGAAUUAUAGAAUAUAUAUUAUCAAAUUACAAAAUUUAUUAGUACUUACUAAAUUUUUGGAGUAAUAACAAAAACUUCAUAAGGUUUUUGUGUGAUUAUACAAAAUAUUAUCCUAUUACAUUAAUUAUUAUAGAUAUUAUAGUGUCUUAUGUAACACAUGAGUUAGAUAUUCCUCAUAGUCACUCUAAAAUAAGAUUUGUUCUGUUUUGAUCAUUUCAAUUUUUUUUGUCAAUUUAGUCACUCUAAAUAAUAUAAUUGUGUGAAUUAGUCAUUCUGUUAAAAUUUUCGUUUUCUUUUAACGGAUUAUUGAUAUGAUACAUUAGCACAUUUAGUGACUGGCACGUAUUUUUUUGUUGACUUCUGAUUAAAGUUUAGCAACCUCCCUAUAAUUAGUCAAAAGUCAAUAAAAAAUGCCACAUGUCAGUCACUCAGUGGGCUAAUGUGCCACAUUGGCAAUCCAUCAAAAGAAAAACGAAAAUUUUGACGGCAGUGACUAAUUCGCACAAUUAUCUUAUUUAUAGUGAUUAAAUUGAGAAAAAAAAAUAGAGUGAUCAAAAUAAGACAGGCCCUAUUUUAGAGUGACCUCGGGUGUCAUUUACCCAUUACAUAAUAUAUUACCCAGUUACAAAAAUUCUUAGAACAAUCAUAGUAUUUAAUUAAUUUCUUAGAGGGAUCUGUUAGGUACUUUUACCUUUAUAAAAUCAGUAGAAUGAGAGUAGACCUAUUUAUGGGUUGAGUUACUCAUCUAGACUCGAAGGUCCGCCUGAAAUUUGAGAGGGUUUAUGUAAAAAUAUUAGACCCAAUAAAUGGGUUUAGGUAAAAAAUUAGGCUCGUUUAAAAAAAAGUUAGAGCUUGAACUUGAACAUUUAAGGCCCGAGCUUGGCCCGACCCUGACUCAACCCAUUUUUAAGUUUAUAAUACUUUAUAUUAUGUUGUUUUUAUAUAUUAUGUAUUUUAUAACACAUUAAAAAAAUAAACCCAUACUAAAUAUAUAAUACUACUCUAAUGUAAAUAUUAAAAUAAUAUAAUAAAAAUAUUUGUUUAAAAUUUUUUAUAAAUAAUAUGGGUAGGUUUAAAAUGAGUUUGGGUUUGGGUAAAAUUUUAGACCCACAUUUCAGGUUGGGCUAGAUUUGAACAAAUAUAAAAUAUGUUAAUAUCAUACUUAAGCCCGACUCGAAUCCGAUCCAACUCGGCCAUGAUGAGAUGUUAGAGGGAGUUGUUUUCUGAGGAAAAAUCCGAACCCGCUUACAAACCCGGAAAUGAAAUCUCAGAGAAAAAACAAAAAAAGAAUGGGCCUAAAUAGAUCAGUCCAAUCCAAAAAGACAUCAAUAAUAAUCCACAAGACCAUGACCAUGACCAUGACCGUGACCGACACUCGAAUACGAAUUGACUGGCCACCGCCAGCCACCACACGGUAGAUAAGAAAAAUCAAAUUCCACGGCAGAUUUUAAAAAAGAUUAAAAAACAACAUAUAAGCUCUUUUCUUUUAUCAGAUCUCAUUUCCCCCUCCUCUCCCUUCUCAAAGAGAGAGUUUCCUUCUCCAACCCCGUCAAAAUGGAAUCUGGAUCCAGAUCUAUGAACCGAUUAACUGCCACCAUCAUUUGGCCGAUUCUCUUCCUCUUCAUGAUCCAUGCCGCUCACUGCUUCUACCUCCCCGGUGUUUCCCCCGAGGACUUCCAGAAGGUCGCCUUUCCCUUUCCCUUUCUCUUCUAUUCUUUAUUUAUUGAUCUGGUUUUUAUUUUGUAUCUUCACUUUGAACUCUGUUUGUUUUUGAUAGAAUAAUAAGAUACGUAUAUGAUCUCUACGAGAAGGAAAAUUAAUGAAUUUCUUUGUAUUCGUGUUGGAAGUGGAAAACCCGUCUCAGAUUCAGCUAGGUUUUCUUUUAAACAAGAAAUUAGAACAAUUUAACUUCAUUUCACUUUAUGAUUUUCGUUUUCCGUUUUGAUUCUUUUAUUUCAAAACGUUUAGUGUCCAUACUUUUAGCUAGUUUUUAAGAUUUUCUUCCGGUCUUGCAUUUAUCCAUGGCAUUUGCGAUUUUAUUUUAUGUUAAUCAUGUUCUGUAAUUAUUGCUUAAGGAAAGAGAUUCAAUUUACAUAAUGUAUUAAUGGAAGCACCAAAGCGUGCUUGAUCUUUAUGGUGAUUAGUUACAUUGCGUACCUGAUCGAUAAUGACUUUGAUUAAAACACUUUAAGUUCUCACUACAUGCUGUGAUAGUUGGGAGUGUUCAUUAAAGAAUCAUUUUGGUCCUCUUUAGUUUUGAUUCUUUUGUUAGGGGUUUGCAGGGAGAUCCUUUGAAGGUGAAAGUGAACAAAUUGACAUCUAUAAAGACUCAACUUCCUUACUCGUACUAUUCGCUUCCUUUUUGUCCACCUAAAAAGAUUGUUGACAGUGCGGAGAAUCUUGGGGAAGUGCUUCGUGGUGACCGAAUUGAAAACUCUCCUUAUGUGGUCAGUUAUCAGUAUUUCUGAUGAUUUAGUGUUGAUUGUUUAUUCUAUGGCCAUUAACUUGUUCUUAUUGACUCCAAUUAAUGUAGUUUAAAAUGCGAGAGCCACAUAUGUGUACUGUUCUUUGCCGCAUUACACUUGAUGCCAAAACUGCAAAGCAAUUUAAGGAGAAGAUUGAUGAUGAAUAUCGAGUCAAUAUGUAUGCCAUUUGUUUAUUCGGACAUGGAAUUCAUCUUUCAGUCUUUUUAUAGCUGUUGCCUAGGAUCUCUGUCUAAUUAAUUUGUGGUUCAAUUGACAGGAUACUGGAUAACCUUCCCCUUGUUGUCCCCGUUAGAAGAUUAGAUCAGGAUUCUUCUACUGUUUAUCAGCUUGGCUACCAUGUUGGGCUCAAAGGCCAAUAUAGUGGGGUAAACAUAAUAUCUAUUACAAGUAUUAAAAUUUCCUUUGUUUGUGGAUGUAAUUAGCUACUAUAUCUGUGUUUGCUUAUGUUUUCUGGUUAUAUGCAGAGCAAGGAAGAGAAAUAUUUCAUUCACAACCAUUUAGCAUUUACUGUCAAAUAUCAUAGGGAUCCGCAAACUGACUCUGCUAGAAUUGUGGGUUUUGAGGUUAAACCAUACAGGUUAGCUCCUUUGAGUCUAGCAUAUUCUAAUAAUUUUAAUUCUAGGUUUCUGUGACUGAGAUUGUUGUAUUGUGUUUUGAUACAUUUUCUUUAUAUACUAAAACAAUGCAGUAUUAAACAUGAAUAUGAGGGGAAAUGGAAUGAAAAAAGUCGUUUAACAACAUGCGACCCCCAUAAUAAACGCACAGUUGUUAAUUCUAACACUCCUCAAGAAGUUGAAGCAAAAAAGGAGAUAAUAUUCACCUAUGAUGUUGAAUACCAGGUGAGUUCUUCAACUUCAAAUAAUUUUCUAGGGUUGACAAUUGCAAUGUUAAAUUUUUCCAAUGGCAACCUUGAGCUGAACCCUUAAAGGUUGUAUUCCUUUGUGUUGAAGUAGAUUCUGUUGAUAUUAUUACUUGGAAAAAAUUCUCCAUUGUAUCACAUUUUCUUGAAUUAAGUUUCUGACAUAUAAAUCUAUGAGGUGCUAGUAUUCUUAAAUUUUCCUGUGCGACUUUCAGGAGAGUGAUGUGAAGUGGGCAUCUAGGUGGGAUGCAUAUCUUUUAAUGAAUGAUGACCAAAUACACUGGUUCUCAAUUGUCAAUUCUUUGAUGAUUGUUCUCUUCCUUUCGGGAAUGGUAGCAAUGAUCAUGCUAAGGACACUAUACCGUGACAUUUCUAGGUAUAACGAACUUGAGACUCAGGAAGAAGCCCAAGAAGAGACAGGAUGGAAGCUUGUCCAUGGGGAUGUUUUCAGGCCUCCAUCUAAUUCUGAUCUACUCUGUGUCUAUGUUGGCACCGGUGUUCAAUUUUUGGGCAUGGUACUUGUUACCAUGAUCUUUGCUGUUUUUGGAUUUCUUUCCCCUUCAAACCGAGGUGGUCUGAUGACAGCUAUGCUUUUACUUUGGGUCUUCAUGGGCAUUUUUGCUGGCUAUGCUUCUGCCCGUCUGUACAAAAUGUUUAAAGGAGCAGAAUGGAAGAAAUUAGCUUUUAGGACUGCGUGCAUGUUCCCAGGCAUUGUCUUUGCCAUCUUCUUUGUCUUAAAUGCAAUUAUAUGGGGCCAGAAGUCUUCUGGGGCCGUGCCAUUUGGAACAAUGUUUGCUCUGGUCCUCAUGUGGUUUGGAAUUUCAGUUCCACUUGUUUUUGUGGGUGGUUACGUUGGGUUCAAGAAGCCAGCAAUUGAGGAUCCUGUGAAGACGAACAAAAUCCCAAGGCAAAUUCCAGAGCAAGCUUGGUAUAUGAACCCGACUUUUUCUAUUCUGAUCGGAGGAAUACUUCCAUUCGGAGCUGUUUUCAUCGAGCUGUUCUUCAUUCUCACCUCAAUCUGGCUGAACCAGUUCUACUACAUCUUUGGUUUCCUGUUCUUGGUAUUCAUUAUCCUCCUUAUCACUUGUGCUGAAAUAACCAUUGUGCUUUGCUACUUCCAAUUAUGCAGUGAAGAUUAUCUGUGGUGGUGGAGAUCAUAUCUCACAUCCGGCUCCUCGGCUUUGUACCUCUUCCUCUACGCUACAUUCUAUUUCUUCACAAAGCUUGAGAUCACUAAGCUGGUUUCGGGGCUCCUAUACUUUGGGUACAUGCUAAUCGCUUCAUAUGCAUUUUUUGUGCUAACGGGCACCAUCGGAUUUUAUGCGUGCUUUUGGUUCACAAGACUUAUCUACUCAUCUGUCAAGAUUGAUUAGUGUGUAAAACCGGGAUCUGCUUGGUGUUC
rnacentral:lncRNA from 1 species